CUAUAGGUCCUUUUGCAGCAACAUGAGGAAAGAAUCCCAAAUGCACACGUGUGGAGAAGUCUAAAUGUGAUGAUAUUUUGUUAGUGCAACUAAAUUUCAUGUUGAUUUUGUGUCCUGGGAUUGGAUAAAGAGUAAAAUGGAGAGACACAUACUUCUUUUACAUUGAUAACACUCUGAAGACCUGGGGAAGGAAUGUGCGUGUGCACAGAACCCCUGACAUCUAUCUGGAAGAUCUCCCUCUCAGCCAUUCCAGAAGCUGAGGUGCAGGACGGAGCCCUCCCAGGAAUGUACAUUUUACUAUUCUUACUACAAUCUUAAAGAGUGGGUAAGUAGAUGUCACUAUUCCCACUUUACAGAUAAAGAAAUUGAAGCCCAGAGGAGCUGAGUAACUUAUCCAAGGCAUGAUGGGUGUUAAGCAACAAAGUUGGACCCGAACUAAGAACAAGUAGAAAGUGUUGACAGAGUAUAAAUAAAUCUGGAGGCUCCACUAAAAUGAAAUGACAAA